rnacentral:lncRNA from 1 species
CUUUAUCAAACAUUCAGACAAAGACAACUUAUCAAAAAAUAAGAAAAAGAAAAGGUUUGUAUUACGUCGACUUUUCGUCAUAAGAAUAAAGGUAGUUUACUGCAUGCUUGAAAGAUCCUAUUAUAAUUGAUUUAAGAGUCUAGAUCAAUUUUCAAUUCUAAAUCAAAAUAUGUGUUUGCUUUCCUUUUUCUACUAUUAUAAUCUGCUUAUUUAAUAUAUGUCAAGGAUAUAAACAUGUUUAACUCCAUUUUUAUAUGUCAAGGAUAGAAGCAUCUUAACAAGUUUAAAAUUCCAUAGUAGGAAUUUGGCAGCUUGCUUCUUUUAUUGAGUUUCAUUUUAGUAAUCACUUCAUACUUGAAAGCAUGAAACUUUGUUAUCUCUAAUCACUUUCAAUUGAAACAUAAUUUUAACAUUGCAGAUCCAUGUAGUGAAGUUUCACCAUUGUCAGUAUUGAACACUAAUAUUCAAAUUCCUUCCCCAUGAGUAAAUAAUGUUUGUUAUUUUCCAGGUCUAAAAUCUUAACCCUACUUUUCUAUAAUCUUAAUUGCUUCAAGAAUCUUCAUACAUCUUUUUCAAUCCUUUUUAGGCCCUAUUGGACAAAGAAAUAAUGUUUUUGCGACCUAUAAGGCCCAAGUUGCGUCUUAUGCAAGAUUAAGAAGG